GAUGAACGCUGGCGGCGUGCCUAAUACAUGCAAGUAGAACGCUGAAGCUUGGUGCUUGCACCGAGCGGAUGAGUUGCGAACGGGUGAGUAACGCGUAGGUAACCUGCCUGGUAGCGGGGGAUAACUAUUGGAAACGAUAGCUAAUACCGCAUAACAGUAGAUAUUGCAUGAUAUCUGCUUGAAAGGUGCAAAUGCAUCACUACCAGAUGGACCUGCGUUGUAUUAGCUAGUUGGUGAGGUAACGGCUCACCAAGGCGACGAUACAUAGCCGACCUGAGAGGGUGAUCAGCCAGCCUGAGACGGAGACAGGGCCCAGACGCCUACGGGAGGCAGCAGUAGGGAAUCGUCGGCAAUGGGGGGAACCCUGACCGAGCAACGCCGCGUGAGUGAAGAAGGUUUUCGGAUCGUAAAGCUCUGUUGUAAGAGAAGAACGAGUGUGAGAGUGGAAAGUUCACACUGUGACGGUAACUGACCAGAAAGGGACGGCUAACUACGUG
rnacentral:rRNA from 1 species